ACCCCCUUCUCAGAGAUCUUCUCCUAAAGAACUUCAAGCAGCCUAGAGUGUAACACAUCUGGAGAACAUCAGCCUUCAGCCAUGAAGACCCUUUUCCUUUUGUUUGCUGCUCUCUUGUUCUUCAGUCAAAUUAUUCCAGGAAGUUUUCAGCCUGCCCCUGAUACCUUACAAUGCAGGAGGAGUCACCAUGGAUUCUGUAAAGCCUACUACUGCCCUCCGCACACUAUACCUACUGGAGGGAGCUGCCAGUGGGGAAGCCUGAUUUGCUGUAAAUCUCCUUAUAGGCAGAGAAGGUGGUAAUCAACUGUUGACAAAACAAGACUUCUGGAUUCUAGAGAAAUACAUACUGGCUUUGGAAAUUGGUGGCUUCAACUUCAAAGUCAAGAAUAAAGAGUUAUUUGUUUGGACUAUAAACUGACAUAAUAUUCACAGUCCUCUUCAUCCUGUCCUCCCCUUUUUAUACUUAUUCAUGUUUUGACUUAAGGGCAAAUUUCAGAAAAUAUUAAGUAACCAGCUAGAGUUUUUUUCACAGAAUUUUGGAAAUGAAAGUUAAUCCUAAAUUAAGAAAUAAUUAGGUAAAUUUUAGAAAUAGGCUUUAAUAUCAAAAAGUAAAGUUUAUGGUUAUUUUAAAGAAAGAGAGGCAAAAAGGAAGGGAAUAUAAAUAUUUACUUGUUUUUCUGGAAUUCUGUGGAAGAAAUUUACAUUUUUACUUACAAAAGGUAAAUUACAGAGCUAGUAUUCCUUAUGAUAUGCAUGAAAAUAUCUCAUUUAAAGUCUUGCACAAUUUUGCAGUGUCUGCUUCAUUUGCAUAUAUUUGUUUCUUGUGCCUUCCAGUUUUUUCCCCACAAAGGUUUUUUAAAUUAUCAACUCUCUUUCUAAAGAUUUUCUUAAAGAGAAAUAUAAAAACUAAAAGAAACUAAUUUUAAGUACGAAAAAAGGAAAAAGAAAUAAAUCAAAGAAAAAGCUAAAAGUGCAAGGGAAAAGAACUAAAACAGAUAAUAGAAAAGAGAAAGAAGUAACUUCUAAUCUUCUUUACAGCAGUAAUAAGUACAAUUAUAUAAUCACCUCUUACUUUAUGGUUACAAUAUGUCUCUCUUCUUUUUAGAAUCUAUCCUGUCUAAUCAUCUAACCUCUAAAUUAUAAGUUCAUUUUCCCCCAUUUCAUGCCUAGAGUUCAUAAAGGGGAAUCUAGUCAGCAAUAAACAUGGAUGUCUUUUCUUUGAUCAAAGAAGUUAUCCCCCCCCCCCCCAAAAAAAGCAGUGUAAAUUAUGAUUUGCAUUGUAAAUUGCAAUUUCAGGCAUGCCCAUUUUAGGAAAAUCCCCCAUGAGAGCUUGAACAUAGAAUAAUACUUUAUGCAUUUGCACUGAGUGGUAUCUCCUUUUUUCCUAUUAAUAUUCCUUAGUUUUGUAAAAUGUUACUAACAAACUCAAAUAAAA